CAAUAGCGUAUAUUAAAGUUGUUGCAGUUAAAAAGCUCGUAGUUGGAUUUCUGGUGGGAGCGAUCGGUCUGGCGCUUAGCGCGAGUACUUGCAUCGUCUCCGGCCAUCCUUGGGGAGAGUCUGUCUGGCAUUAAGUUGUCGGGCAGAGGAUCCUCAUCGUUUACUGUGAAAAAAUUAGAGUGUUCAAAGCAGGCUUAUGCCGUUGAAUAUAUUAGCAUGGAAUAAUAAGAUAGGACUUUGGUACUAUUUUGUUGGUUUGCGCACCAAAGUAAUGAUUAAUAGGGACAGUUGGGGGUAUUCGUAUUCCGUUGUCAGAGGUGAAAUUCUUGGAUUUACGGAAGAUGAACUACUGCGAAAGCAUUUACCAAGGAUGUUUGCAUUAA
rnacentral:rRNA from 1 species